rnacentral:misc_RNA from 1 species
UCAAACUUGGUCAUUUAGAGGAAGUAAAAGUCGUAACAAGGUUUCCGUAGGUAAGUUGAAAAUCAUUCCAAUUUUACAACCCCCCCUCUAAAUAAUAGCGCAUAACAUGCUAACUUUUUUGGCUUAGGUGAACCUGCGGAAGGAUCAUUAUCGAGUGUUGAACCCCCCUGUAAAAAAAGGUGGGGUCACCUCCAGUCCUUUGCUGGGCAUACCCUAUUCCAUUGGAAAGGGGUUGCUAUCAGAACUUUCUGCUUCGGCGGGGUUACCUGCCGGAACAACCUCAAAAUUCUUAGUCAAAAUGGUUCUGUCCAAGAAACUUUUAAAAAGCGAAAAACUUUCAACAACGGAUCUCUUGGUUCUGGCAUCGAUGAAGAACGCAGC